rnacentral:rRNA from 1 species
ACGGAGGAUCCAAGCGUUAUCCGGAUUUAUUGGGUUUAAAGGGUGCGUAGGCGGACCCGUAAGUCAGUGGUGAAAGUUUGCAGCUCAACUGUAAAAUUGCCAUUGAAACUAUGGGUCUUGAGUGUAAAUGAGGUAGGCGGAAUGUGUUGUGUAGCGGUGAAAUGCUUAGAUAUAACACAGAACACCAAUUGCGAAGGCAGCUUACUAGGAUACAACUGACGCUGAGGCACGAAAGCGUGGGGAUCAAACAGGAUUAGAUACCCUGGUAGUCCACGCAGUAAACGAUGAAUACUAACUGUAUGCGAUAUACUGUAUGUGGUAAAGCGAAAGCGUUAAGUAUUCCACCUGGGGAGUACGUUCGCAAGAAUG